rnacentral:rRNA from 1 species
AGCGAACGCUGGCGGCAGGCCUAACACAUGCAAGUCGAACGAAGUCUUCGGACUUAGCGGCGGACGGGUGAGUAACACGUGGGAACGUGCCUUUAGGUUCGGAAUAACUCAGGGAAACUUGUGCUAAUACCGAAUGUGCCCUUCGGGGGAAAGAUUUAUCGCCUUUAGAGCGGCCCGCGUCUGAUUAGUUAGUUGGUGGGGUAAAGGCUCACCAAGGCUACGAUCAGUAGCUGGUCUGAGAGGAUGACCAGCCACAUUGGGACUGAGACACGGCCCAAACUCCUACGGGAGGCAGCAGUGGGGAAUCUUGCGCAAUGGGCGAAAGCCUGACGCAGCCAUGCCGCGUGGAUGAUGAAGGUCUUAGGAUUGUAAAAUCCUUUCACCGGUGAAGAUAAUGACUGUAGCCGGAGAAGAAGCCCCGGCUAACCUCGUGCCAGCCGCCGCAGUAACAC